AGGCCUUCAGGCUGGUCGGCCGGAAAUGGACCGACCACGUCGUUUUCGAUGCCGGGUUGAUGCGAAAGAUCGAUAGCCGCUAUACGCGCGCCGACGCGACGAAGAUCCAGACCGUAUUGAACUGGCGGCCAAAGAUCGACUUUCAAUCACUCGUUUCGAUGAUGGUGAACGCGCAAAUUGCUUUCAUCAAGAAUAGCAUGUCGUUGAAUCGGAAUCCGGGCAGUGACUACUACAGCGCUGAAU
rnacentral:misc_RNA from 1 species